rnacentral:rRNA from 1 species
GCUGUCCGCAGCUGGAGUAUUUUAUUACCCUUGUCUUUUGCGCACUUGUUGUUUCCUGGGCGGGUUCGCUCGCCACCAGGACCACCAAAUAAACCUUUUUUAUGCAGUUGCAAUCAGCGUCAGUACAAACAAUGUAAAUCAUUUACAACUUUCAACAACGGAUCUCUUGGUUCUGGCAUCGAUGAAGAACGCAGCGAAAUGCGAUACGUAGUGUGAAUUGCAGAAUUCAGUGAAUCAUCGAAUCUUUGAACGCACAUUGCGCCCUUUGGUAUUCCAAAGGGCAUGCCUGUUCGAGCGUCAUUUGUACCCUCAAGCUUUGCUUGGUGUUGGGCGUUUUUGUCUUUGGUCGCCCAAAGACUCGCCUUAAAGUGAUUGGCAGCCGGCCUUUCUGGUUUCGCAGCGCAGCACAUUUUUGCGCUUGCCAUCAGCAAAACGGCAAUCCAUCAAGCCUCCUUCUCACGUUUGACCUCGGAUCAGGUAGGGAUACCCGCUGAACUUAAGCAUAUCAAUA